GUUGUCAUAUUAUCUGCAAAUAGUAAACGGUUGUGAAUGUAUAAUCGAAGGAUUCAUGAUGUAAAAUUGGACACAAGGACUAGUUCACUGCAGCUCAUUAUUCAUACUUCGUGUGUAGAUGGUCAGUUAAGGCAUAACAUACUUAUAUAGUUCAUACAACAACGUGUCAUUUAGAUUGUAGACUGUGGUUUGCGCUUCUGUGGACCCCCAGUGAAGUGCGAUACUGCGAGUUGAUGUCCGGUGAUGACCGGUCGAAAUACGAGAACAUAUGGACAGAUAACGAAAUGUAAUCGGAAACCAUCGAAAAUCCCAGCUUAAGUGAAAUCAAACCAUAUAAAAUGAAAAGGAUAUUACUGUAGUUACAGUUCAACAAGCUAAAUACGAUUCAAAAACAUUUUGUUGAGAUUAUUACAAUAGGUAUGGAAAAUGGCGCUUUUUCUGCAU